CGUGGUUGACAGUUUACAUAGCCUGUAAGGGGAUGGCACUUCAAUGAUUUCGUGGGUUUAAAUUUCGUGGGCAGCUCAUAACCACGAAAAUCACGAAAUUUACAUUCCACGAAAAUUUCAAGCUAUACGGCAUCUUAAAACUCCUAAAAUGUCAACUCUGCUUUUGUAUGGUUGACUUUUGGAUCAUUGCAAAUGGCUCAAAUUUUGCCAAACUCUACUUGCCAAGUUUUAUUUGGAAAGCAAUUUUAUUCAAGAAGGAAAUAGUUGAAAUUAAUUAAAAAAUAAUAUUUUAAUAAAACUGCUUCUUUUUUGUUCUGUAGAAGCUGAGAGUACUGUCAAGUCGCUAAAUGGAAGGUGGUUCGGUGGUCGUGUUAUAACGGCAGAGCUCUACGAUCAAGCGAAAUUUGAUGCCAACGACCUUUCACACUGAAAGACUGUCGAAAUCAAGAAAGGAGAGAAUUAAGAUGUCUCUUCUUUGUCUCCUUGACCUUUUACAAAUGGAUUGAUACACACACAUGUACAAAACAGACUUGUGAAAUACCUCUCUCUCUCUAUCUUUUUUGAAAGGAUCAAAUGAUGAGAGAGAAGAAGAGGGAGACGGAGAGACUCUCACCUCACUACAACAAGAAGAAGAGGUCUCCAUAUCAGGGAGCAGUGCUAGGAUGAUGAUUAUGCAGAAAUUGUCGAGAAAAUCAGAGCAACAAGCGAAGCAGAGUGAAGUACAAGUUCAGCAGAUGCAGUCAUUGCAGGAGGCAGCCAACCAGCAAAGAGCACUACUACUCAUGAGCCG